ACGAUUAUUUGGUUCGCGUUAUCCUUGCACAAGUGGAACUAGGGAAUAUAGAACUAGGAAAAACAAUGACCACUGGACCGAGGAUGAGGUUAUAGAACUUGUGGAUGGUGUGUCAAAGGAAGGAAUUGGAAAGUGGAGCAAACUGAAAGGAAUAUACUUCUCAACAUCGAUUCGAACACCUGUCCACCUCAAGGAUAAAUGGAGGAACUUGGUGAGAGCUUGCAAGGCCAAGAAUGACUCCAAAAAGAAGAUAAAUGCACACAAGGCUACGGGGUUGAUUGUACGGAGAUUCAAGCACCGUAUACUGGCCAUAGAAGCCAAGCGUCUUGGUAAGAAAAAGAAAUGAAUUCGGAUCAGCAAAAAAAACGUGCUCAACGCGAGUCGGGCUCCAAAAUUAACAAGGCUAUUACCAAAACCUGAGUCGUAUUAUACGUAUAUAUGCUAUGUGUGUAGUUACUGCACCAUGGUGCACGGAUUGGACAAGAUGAAUGAUGUCUGCACGUAGGCGUAGCACUAGAUGCUCUCUCACUGAUGUAGGCAUGUAGCAAUGAUAAUGCUGUGUAUAUAUACCUCUUUAAGAAAGCGAAAGUAGUGUGUAGUGUGCACGAAAGCAUGC